rnacentral:rRNA from 1 species
UACGUAGGCAGCGAGCGUUGUUCGGAGUUACUGGGCGUAAAGAGUGCGUAGGCGGUUUUCUAAGUUUGGUGUGAAAUCUCCCGGCUCAACUGGGAGGGUGCGCCGAAAACUGGAGAGCUAGAGUACUGGAUGGGAGAGUGGAAUUCCUGGUGUAGCGGUGAAAUGCGUAGAUAUCAGGAGGAACACCGGUGGUGUAGACGGCUCUCUGGACAGUAACUGACGCUGAGACACGAAAGCGUGGGUAGCAAACAGG